rnacentral:rRNA from 1 species
GGGCAAUCUGCCCUGCACUCUGGGACAAGCCCUGGAAACGGGGUCUAAUACCGGAUACGAGCCCCCGCCGCAUGGUGGGGGUUGGAAAGCUCCGGCGGUGCAGGAUGAGCCCGCGGCCUAUCAGCUUGUUGGUGAGGUAACGGCUCACCAAGGCGACGACGGGUAGCCGGCCUGAGAGGGCGACCGGCCACACUGGGACUGAGACACGGCCCAGACUCCUACGGGAGGCAGCAGUGGGGAAUAUUGCACAAUGGGCGCAAGCCUGAUGCAGCGACGCCGCGUGAGGGAUGACGGCCUUCGGGUUGUAAACCUCUUUCAGCAGGGAAGAAGCGAAAGUGACGGUACCUGCAGAAGAAGCGCCGGCUAACUACGUGCCAGCAGCCGCGGUAAUACGUAGGGCGCAAGCGUUGUCCGGAAUUAUUGGGCGUAAAGAGCUCGUAGGCGGCUUGUCGCGUCGGUUGUGAAAGCCCGGGGCUUAACCCCGGGUCUGCAGUCGAUACGGGCAGGCUAGAGUUCGGUAGGGGAGAUCGGAAUUCCUGGUGUAGCGGUGAAAUGCGCAGAUAUCAGGAGGAACACCGGUGGCGAAGGCGGAUCUCUGGGCCGAUACUGACGCUGAGGAGCGAAAGCGUGGGGAGCGAACAGGAUUAGAUACCCUGGUAGUCCACGCCGUAAACGGUGGGCACUAGGUGUGGGCAGCAUUCCACGUUGUCCGUGCCGCAGCUAACGCAUUAAGUGCCCCGCCUGGGGAGUACGGCCGCAAGGCUAAAACUCACAGGAAUUGACGGGGGCCCGCACAAGCGGCGGAGCAUGUGGCUUAAUUCGACGCAACGCGAAGAACCUUACCAAGGCUUGACAUACACCGGAGACGUCCAGAGAUGGGCGCCCCCUUGUGGUCGGUGUACAGGUGGUGCAUGGCUGUCGUCACCUCGUGUCGUGAGAUGUUGGGUUAAGUCCCGCAACGAGCGCAACCCUUGUCCCGUGUUGCAGCAGGCCCUUGUGG